AUAGGCAGCUAGCUCUCUGCAACUUUGACAUGGCUGCCACUGAAGCUAAGCAGGGCUGCGCCUGGACAGUUCCUGGAUUGGAUAUAACAUGGGAAAACUAGGUUGCUGCCGGAA
rnacentral:rRNA from 1 species